rnacentral:rRNA from 1 species
AAUCAACGCUGGCGGCGUGCCUCAGACAUGCAAGUCGAACGCGAAAGUCCCCUUCGGGGGGACAAGUAGAGUGGCGCACGGGUGAGUAACACGUAGGUAAUCUACCUUCGGAUGGGGAAUAACAACCGGAAACGGUUGCUAAUACCGCAUAAUGCAGCGGCACCUAAUGGUGACAGUUGUUAAAGCGGGGGAUCGAAAGACCUCGCGUCUGAAGAGGAGCCUGCGGCGGAUUAGCUAGNGGUAAGGUAAUGGCUUACCAAGGCGACGAUCCGUAGCCGGCCUGAGAGGGCGGUCGGCCACACUGACACUGACAUACGGGUCAGACUCCUACGGGAGGCAGCAGUCGGGAA